rnacentral:rRNA from 1 species
UACGUAGGGUGCAAGCGUUAAUCGGAAUUACUGGGCGUAAAGCGUGCGCAGGCGGUGAUGUAAGACAGAUGUGAAAUCCCCGGGCUCAACUUGGGAACUGCAUUUGUGACUGCAUCGCUGGAGUGCGGCAGAGGGGGAUGGAAUUCCGCGUGUAGCAGUGAAAUGCGUAGAGAUGUGGAGGAAUACCGAUGGCGAAGGCAGCCCCCUGGGAUAACACUGACGCUCAUGCACGAAAGCGUGGGGAGCAAACAGG